UACAAGUGCAUAGUUUCAGUUCUCAUUUCUGGACUCAAUGUGAUUAACUAAUUUCAUAUUGGUUUAUCUUUGCUUACUUGAGAUUGGUAGUGGUAUAUGUGGUUUUUCUCAUUCUUCACCUCAAAGAUCCUUUUUUUCCUGUUUCUCUCCUUUUCCCAUUGUUCUUCUUCUUCACCCUGAUUCUGUUUCUUUUUCUUUGAUCUAACAACUCAAAACCCACCAAGGUUGUAGGGUUAAAGGUCGAGUUGUGCAGGUUGCUGGAAGAGAAAAGAUCAGCAGUUCUCAGCUUACAGACAUGAGCUUCCUCGCUAUGGACUUGAAGUUGGCCUUACAAAUUAUGCAGCAGCAGCUGGAGAUGGAUGCUGAAUAUGAGGGCAAUGUUGGGGUAUGCAUUUGCCCUGGUUUCUGAGGUGUGGAGAUGGACUCCUAUUUUUUCAUGCCUCUUGUAAUAUAUAAACACCCCUGUUUCAAUGUCUAAUUGGAGUUUAUAGAAGCAAUAAACCCCUGUAGUAAACAGUGAAUGUAGUAAACAUAUUUUAGUCUAAUUUCAAAGGGUUUUUUAAUUUCCAUUUUAGUCUAUAAAUUUUCAAGUUUAUUACUGCA